rnacentral:lncRNA from 1 species
UGAUGAUGAAAUAUCCCUUCUCACUGUUCAGGGGUUCAUUGAAAAUGAACCCGAGUCCUAUAAAGAUGCUAUGAGUAGUAAGGACUCUAAGCAUUGGCUAGAAGCAAUGCAUGAUGAGAUGGAAUCGUUGAGAAAGAAUAAAACUUGGACCUUGGUUAAAAGACCUAAGGGAAAGAGAGUUAUAGAUUGUAAGUGGAUCUAUAAGAUCAAAAGAGGUGAAAAAGAUGAGAAUGACAUUAGAUACAAGGCAAGACUUGUGGCUAAGGGUUUUGCUCAAAAGGAGGGGAUAGACUUUAAUGAAAUAUUUUCCCCUGUUGUAAAAUUUACAACUGUUAGAGUUAUACUCGCCCUAGCAGCUCAAUUUAAUUGGGAAUUAGAUCAAUUAGAUGUAAAAACUGCGUUUUUAAAUGGAGAUCUUGAAAAGACCAUUUUUAUGGAACAACCUAAAGGCUUUGAAGUGAAUAAAAAUUCAGACUUAGUAUGCCUUCUUAAAAAGUCACUUUAUGGUUUAAAACAAGCUCCAAGACAAUGGUACAAGAGAUUUGACACUUUUGUGCUUGGACUUGGUUUUAAAAGAAGUAAUUUCGAUACUUGUCUUUAUUGUAAAGGAAAUGGAGGUGAGAAUUCACUCUAUCUUCUACUUUAUGUGGAUGACAUGCUUUUAGCAAGUCAUGACAUAAAGGAAAUAGAGUCAAUUAAAGACAAAUUAAAAUCUGAAUUUGAAAUGAAG